rnacentral:rRNA from 1 species
UACGUAGGGGGCAAGCGUUGUCCGGAUUUAUUGGGCGUAAAGAGCUCGUAGGUGGUUCGGUAAGUCGGAUGUGAAAUCUCCAGGCUCAACCUGGAGGGGUCAUUCGAUACUGCCGUGACUAGAGUUCGGUAGGGGAGUGUGGAAUUCCUGGUGGAGCGGUGAAAUGCGCAGAUAUCAGGAGGAACACCGGUGGCGAAGGCGGAUCUCUGGGCCUUACCUGACGCUCAGGUGCGAAAGCUAGGGGAGCGAACAGG